rnacentral:rRNA from 1 species
UGCAGUCGAGAAUCUUCGGCAAUGGGCGCAAGCCUGACCGAGCGACGCCGCGUGGAGGAUGAAGGCCUUCGGGUUGUAAACUCCUGUCGAGGGGGAGGAAGGCCAAAAGCAUGACCGAUCCCUGGAGGAAGCACGGGCUAAGUUCGUGCCAGCAGCCGCGGUAAGACGAACCGUGCGAACGUUAUUCGGAAUCACUGGGCUUAAAGCGCGUGUAGGCGGGCCCGAACGUCGGACGCUGAAAUCCCCCGGCUCAACCGGGGAAGUGGCGCCGAUACGGCGGGCCUGGAGGGGGGUAGGGGGGCCUGGAACUUCCGGUGGAGCGGUGAAAUGCGUUGAGAUCGGAAGGAACGCCCGUGGCGAAAGCGAGGCCCUGGACCUUUUCUGACGCUGAGA